rnacentral:rRNA from 1 species
GACGGACCGUCCAAACGUUAUUCGGUAUCACUGGGCUUAAAGGGUGCGUAGGCGGUCCCGUAAGUCGGGUGUGAAAUCCCUCGGCUCAACCGAGGAAGUGCGCCCGAAACUGCGGGGCUAGAGGGAGGUAGAGACGAGUGGAACUUGCGGUGGAGCGGUGAAAUGCGUUGAUAUCGCAAGGAACACCGGUGGCGAAGGCGGCUCGCUGGGCCUUCCCCGACGCUGAGGCACGAAAGCUAGGGGAGCGCACGGG